UUGAAAAUUUAUUGCAUUACAUUAAAUAAUAAAUAUUUGGCAAUAUAAAUAAAUACAUUUCAAUUCACAAAUAAUAUUUUAAAUAUAUACAAUUCAUUUUUUAAAUAGAAUUAUAAUUUACAUUCUUUUAUCAAUGGAAAAUAAACAAUAAUUAGAAGUUUUAAGGAAACAACAAUAUUUUUUCUUAAUUAAUAAUUCAAGGAAAAAGAAAAUAUAAAAAAAACAUGAAAAUAUUUUAUUUCUUUUUCGUAUUACCUCUUUCCCCGGUAAAUGAUCUUUAAAUUUCAGAGAAUGUUUGUGAUCGCGCGCAAUGCGAUCGUAGAGUCAGUGUUUAUUGCGUAAUAGUAUUUUUAAUAUUUUUUUAGAGCAUAAUAGCUUCAAUAUUAAAUUUUAUUAUAACAAUUAUACGCGAAAGUAGAGUUUGUUUGCCGAUUAUGCAACAUGAACGCGAUAAUAGCUUCUUAUUUUUUUAUUUUUAUUUUUCUUCUUGCAAAUAUUCGUUUUCGGUAGAAGGUAGAAUCAGUGUCAACAGUAUAAAGCGAUCAUCCAUCACGCGAAGAGCCUUGACAUCCUCUCGCGAGUUCCUCUUUGAUCCGAAGCAAUACACGUCGCAUCUAAUGGUGAGUCGCAUGCAUUUAUGUUCCUCUGGUCACUCAAUCAUGUCGUAGGAUGAAAGAUCCAAAUCGACACGGGUGACUGGUUGUAUACGUAGAAUUUUGCACGAGCACAGUGAACAUGGAUAUUUAUUAUAUUCGUGAAUAGUAACAUAUCUCUUUUUGUGUUUUAUUUAUUAGUUCAGGAUAGGGUCUUCUUGCACGUCGUGUUUUUAGAUAUUAAUAUAUAAUAUAUAAUGAUUAAUUUUUUAUUAAUAGCAACAAUAAAUCAAUAAUAUUUAUUGACAACAAUGUAAUGUUGAUAAUUAAUUUGAAUUAUCAUGAAUUGAAAUUAUGUUUACUAAAGUUAUUUAUAAAAUCAAAAUAUAUUCAAUAUGGAUAUUUGCAACAUUCAUAAAUAAAUGUACGUCUUUAAAUAAAAUGAGGAGAUAAUUUCGAUUAAGUGUUUCGUAGCAGAGAAAUCGGAUACCCUCCGACUUCGUUGCUGUAAAAAUUAAAAUUUAUAAAACAAUGAUAAUGAUACGUUUAAUCUAUGAUUAUAAUUAUAAAUAAACGUGUUAUAUUAGUAUAACUUGAGAUAUGAAAAUAUCAAAAUUUAAUUCGUUUCGUGAAAGAUUUAUUCAAUUUCAUGUGCAAGAAGGACGCUUCGCGACAGGUAGAUUUCAGAAUCAAAGCAACAAGUUUUUUAACAUUGCUUUAAUAAUUUCGAAAAUUUGCAUUGAUAAAGAAAUCGCCUGAGGGUUUUCCAUUAAUAUUUGACUUAAAUUUAUUUGCUUUCGUUAAGUUCAAUCUUUUGAUAUUAAAUUUUCAUUAAUUUACCAAAUAAAGUAGUAUUAUAAAGUUUGAAUUAUCAAAAUUUGUGAUAAAAUAAUAUAUACAAUAUAUUUUAACCCGUUAGAUAAAAAAGCAGUACUAAUAUAUCUUUUUAGCUCAGGAUUUUCAGAUUUAACCCUUUCCAUGUCUAUUGCCAGGAUCUCAUUCACGUGCCCAGGUGCUACUUGGAUGAGAGAAAGGCGAUAGGUAUGAUGACCAUAAUUCAUAAGCUAAUGAACAAUUUCUCAGCGACUGACGAUGCGUUAGUGUAUCGUGCACGAUGUAUUUUCCACAUUGUGUAUGUGUGAUUAGGCUGUGGAAUUGCGUCGUUUCAAAACUAUCAAUCCAAUCACUUGAAAUGAUUAAAAUAUUCAUAAUUAUUAAUUAACAAUUCACAAUUUAAAUAAAAUAAUAUUAUCUUCGCUAUUAAAUUGCAGAUUACAAACGAUAAUGUUAUCAAUUCUGCUAUUAAAUUAUAAUAAUAGUACAAAAUAAUAAUAAUAAUAAUAAUAAAUCACAUAAUCCAACCUAAUUUCUUUAAAAGGUACACAUAUUCUUUCAAUAUUCCCGAUUACAAUUAAAAUUAGACAGGAGCCUUUUGUCUGUUACGCAAUGGUCGCUAGCCAUCGUCAGUCGAUUUCAGGAAAAAGGUACGUAAAGUUAGAGUGUGAGAGAGAAGUAUGCCAAGCUCGGGUGUCGGAGGCGUCCCGGGACGUUUUCCCUAGUGUAGGCUUUUGCGCCCGGGUGUUAUGCGUGAGGAUCGUGUGAGAGUGUGUUGGUAUGCGUGUUUUGCCAUUUUUUUUUAAAUAUAGGAUUAGGUAGGAUAGGUAGUAUACUUCUGGUGUGCCUGUUAAUUGUAAGUAGGUAGGGCCGGGCAGAUUGUCACGGUCUCUGGUCGGGUAGGCGCGUUUUCGCGUGGCAAUCUGUUUCAGGAAAUUUAAUUUGGAAAGACGAGAGUGGAGCUGGAACGAAUGGAGCAUGCCACUCGUCUCUCUGGCUUUGCUCGUUCGACUUUUCGAAUUUCCGCGGUCGCGGUCGCGAGAAGUGGUCUCGAAACGAGCGUUGCGCUCGAGAUUCUGUGCAUGUACGAAGAACGAUUGUUUCAUGUGCAUUUAGCUCCCGCGGUUUAGUCCUUUUUUUUUCUCUUUUUUUCUGUGGUUUGCGAUUAGUGAAUCUCGAGCCUAGAUUUUAAGUUUCAGCGGGCAUUGCGCCCGAAGGAGGAAGACCGAAGAGGCCUCGACAAACUGUCACGAAGAGGGGCUGCAACGAAUGGCUUCUCAUCUUUUGGAUCUUUUUUUGGGUCCAAAGGAUGGGAAGUCAUUGUUACUAUUUUGUCACUGUGCUCGUUUUAGUAAUAUGUAGUAAUUGUUGUUGUGCUGUCCGAUCUGGCCGAUUUGCAUGCCGGCCCAUUAUCCAAAUCCAGUCAUCGUGGGCAUCGCGAUUUUUUAUUAGGGUUGCGAUUGAUUAAUAACGGGUUGAAUUAGUGUUGCGUUAAAAUGAGAAUCGCGUUUGCAUUAGUGUUGCGAAUUAUAAAAUAUUACGGCUUUUUUUGUUAUAAAUUAUUAUAUAGUUUCUUUUAUAAUAAAAUAUCUAAUAAUAAAAUUUAUAUCUUUUGCGGUUAAAUUCAUUUUUUUAUUUUUAACGAAACUAUUAACUUUCUUUAGUCAGGAAUAAUAAUUUCAAUUGAAUUCGUUUUAAAAAGUAGUGUUGCGUUAAUAAAUAAUCGCGUUUGUUGAAGUAGUGUUGCGAAUAUUGAAUGCCCCAAAUUUCUUCCACUGAGAUUGUGGAAAUACUUAUGUUCCUGUUCGUUCCUGAAUCAUCUUGAGUGGCUAAAAAAGCUACUCGGGUGAUAAUACGAGUUCAAAAAUGGGAAACACCCGAUUUACAUUCGGCCCAUUAUCUAAUCAUCAUGAGUAAGUUAUAAUUUUAAAAAAUUAUAAUUUUAUUUUUUUAUGUACUUGUAAAUUGUUAUUUUUUUGUUUCUGAAAACAAAUUAAAACGGAUAUUUUGAUUUUAAUUGAUUUUUCAUCUCAGUAUUUAAAAUAAAUAUUACAAUUUUUUAAUUUAAAUCCAAAUUUAAAUUUUUAUUUUUGAAUUUUAAAUUGAAAUUUUAAUUAUCUUAAAUUUUCAUAAUUUUUAUAUUAAAAAAAUAAUAAAAUAAUACGAUUUCAAGUCUAAAUUUUGUUUAAACACUAAUUCAAUAUAAAAGUUUGUUACAGGUUUAUUAACUUUUAGAAGAUAUUUAUUAUAUGGGUACAUCUAUUUUAUAGCAUUUUAAAAAGAUAUAUAUAAAUAUCAUGAUUAAUAAAGAAAUGAUAUGAAUAGUAGAAAAGAAGUAAAAUAUUUGCCAAAAAAUUAAUCAUAUAUAUGCUACAGAAUUUGAUUAAUUUUUUUCUAGUUUAAUUUUGUUUUAGAAAUCAUUAUGAGAUUAACAAAAGAAGAUUUAUUUUUCAUACAAUAUCCCAUCCCUUUUCCCUUAUCAGAUUUAAAUUUUUUACAGGUAGGACAUAAAUAUAAACAAAUGAAUUUAUUUUAGGAAGAAUGUGAUCAAUGGAAAAAGAAUUCAUAUGUAGAAUAUCCUAUUUCUUUUUUUUUUAUUUAGAUUCUUUAGUUUAAUAUAUUCUUAUAUGUGUAGAUAUAAAAUCUAUAAUCUUUAAUUGAUGUACCAAUCAAUCUUUAAUUGAUAUACCAAUAUUUAUAAUAUUGGUAUAUAUAUUGGUAUAAUAAUUUUGAUGUAUAUUAUAAGUAAGUAUAUAAUAUCCUUUAAAUUUUUAUUGGAUAAAUUUUGUAAAUAUGUUAUAUAAUAUUGUGUGUAAUGUUGUGUGUUAAUUGUGUGUUAUGUGUGUGUGUAUAAAUUGUUUUAAGUCUGUUUCAAAAA